rnacentral:rRNA from 1 species
UUUGCCUGGCGGCCAUAGCGAGUUGGUACCACCCGAUCCCAUCCCGAACUCGGAAGUGAAACGACUUAGCGCCGAUGAUAGUGUGGGGUCUCCCCAUGUGAAAGUAGGUCACUGCCAGGCGC